rnacentral:rRNA from 1 species
AGUGAACGCUGGCGGUAGGCCUAACACAUGCAAGUCGAACGGCAGCACAGUAAGAGCUUGCUCUUACGGGUGGCGAGUGGCGGACGGGUGAGGAAUACAUCGGAAUCUACUUUUUCGUGGGGGAUAACGUAGGGAAACUUACGCUAAUACCGCAUACGACCUACGGGUGAAAGCAGGGGAUCUUCGGACCUUGCGCGAUUGAAUGAGCCGAUGUCGGAUUAGCUAGUUGGCGGGGUAAAGGCCCACCAAGGCGACGAUCCGUAGCUGGCCUGAGAGGAUGAUCAGCCACACUGGAACUGAGACACGGUCCAGACUCCUACGGGAGGCAGCAGUGGGGAAGAUUGGACAAUGGGCGCAAGCCUGAUCCAGCCAUACCGCGUGGGUGAAGAAGGCCUUCGGGUUGUAAAGCCCUUUUGUUGGGAAAGAAAAGCAGCAGGUUAAUACCCCGCUGUUCUGACGGUACCCAAAGAAUAAGCACCGGCUAACUUCGU